ACAAGAGCGUUUCAUCAACACCAUGGUUAGUAACUAGGAAGAAGCCAUGUUUCUUUGAAGCCUCAGAGACGAGUCUAGUAGCUUCUGAGACCAAGAACGAAUCGCCGGAGAGGAAACCGGCGAGGUCUAUGAGAGGGGCUUGGAGAGGUUGAACAUCCGUGGAAGGUUUCUCGUGGUCGGGCCAUACAAACUGUUGAGGUAUGUGGUUUGAUAACUGAUUUAGGAGAUUUGCAUCGAAGAUUGAAGGAUCCUCUUUGGUUUUGUUAUCAUUGAACCUUUCAGGGAGAGUUGCGAUGCAUUCCAUUGCCAUUUAUCUUUAUGUGUAUAUAAAUAUAUAGUAGUGGAAAUGAAAGAUCCUUUAAAGGUCUUUUGAGGUAUAUAAAUAAAUAUAGUGGUCGUGUAACCGGAGAAGAAAAGAGUGCUAUUUAUAGGGGUGAGAGGAAAUCUUACACCAUCAUUAUCCACGGUUUUUUAGGGUGGAGUUCUUAGAAAAAUAUAAGAAACUGUUUCCUAAUUUUCAACUAAAAAGUUAAGAAAUUGUUUUUAAAGUAGUUUAAGAAACAGUUUCUUAACUUUUUAGUUGAAAACUAAGAAACAGUUUCUUAUAUUUUCCUAAGAACCCCGCCCUAAGAAACCGUGGAUAAUCAUGCUCCGUAUGGAAUAGUGACGUAAGUGUUUGUGUGUUGUGUUUAUUUAAAAAAAAUAUUUUUGGGUCAGUUUAUUCUCUUUCGUAAGUUAACAAUUUCGUUCUUUGAGUUCACUUUCCCUUUAUUUAUUUAUUGUGACUGUAUAAACUUUGGUUAGUUAACAUCAGGUCUUAUAAUCCCAGAGAAUUAUAACUUGUUUUUGUAGCCACGCAUUAUCACAAAGAUGAUUUUUAAAAACCUUAUAAAACUAAAUUGGUCCAUAUAAAUAAAUAUUAUAGUUUUUAUUAAACUAACUAUCAAAUUCAUUAGUAGUGUACACAAAAAUAUUUUUUCUUUCCUUAAAUAAAAACAACGGAACUACCUAAUAUGAUUAACAUAUAUAUGGCAAUUAAUGAUUAUGAAUAAUACAUAUUUGAUAAUAAAAUUAUAUCCUUCCCCUUUUUUGUUUAAUUUUAUAUUACUAAAAUAAAUUAAACAAUCACAUUAAGUAUAUAAUAAAAAAAAUAGAUUUUUUCUUAUAUGUUACAUUUUGAAACUUUUAAAACGACUAUAAAUUGCUAAAAGUAGUAAAAGUUCCACAUUAAAAAUUUUGUGAUCAAUGAUUUAAUUUUUUUUUUGUUCAAGCAAAAUAUAAAUGAUCAUAAAUCAUAUGAAUAUGAAAUUUCAUUAAUAGAUAUUCAUAUCAUAUAUAUAAUAAUAUUAUCUAAAUUAAACUAUAUACUACAUAAAAAUAUAAAAAUAUGCUAGUUUCAAAAUUUUCCGUGAAAAUUAUUGAGAUCUUAAUAUUUUAAUUUUAAAAUUUGUAUUUUAAAAAUCUCAUAUUAAAUUUUUUGUGAUUAACAAUUUAAAUUUUUGUUACAGCAAAUAUAAAAAUGUUAAUAAAAUCAUAUGAGUACGAAGUGUCAAUGAUAAAUAUUUAUAUUAAAAUAUACUAACAAAAUAAAUAAAAUGAUUGUUUUGAUUUAUAUACCAAAAAGGCAAAAACAUGAUUGUAAAUUAACAAAAUGUAUUGGUUUUGAUUUAUGUGUUUACGUAUAUACAUUUAUGUAUACAAAUUAUUUUUUAAAUAUGUGGUUUUCAAUAUGUUAUUUGAUCCUAACAAUCUCAGAAGUACAUUUUUUCAAAUCUAAGUGAUUUUUAAUGUUGGAAGCACUAUAUAUAUAUAUAUAUAUUAUUUCAUUCAGAUUAAAUAAUUUAGUUUUGAUUUUUAUUCCUAAAAAGCAUUUAGUGGAAUAUCAUGACAAGAUUUCAAUCACCUAUUUUUGAGUUUGUCUGAAGAAUGAGAGACUUGAUCAUUCGUGUAAUAUUUUUUUAUCUCUAAUACCCUAUUUGACUAUUAUAAUUGUAAGAAUGAGAGAUUUAAACUAUUUAUUAUAAGUUUUAUAGUUUAUCAUUUAAUAAACUAAACAUUUCUUAGUUUAUACACAGUAUACAAUACUAGAAUGGUAAAGUAUUAUAUUCCCUCUGUUUCUGAAUAAGUGUCACUUUGACACUUUUUACACAUACUAAGAAAGUAGCGGAAAUAUAUGUAAGUUGUUAUUAAUUACAUCUUUCUGACCAAUAGUAUUUGGGAUAAAUAAAAUUAUUUAUAAAAAUAAUGCAUUUUGUAAUUAAUUUUCACCUGAAAGUAAGUAUAAUUUGCAUUAGAAUUGUAAAGUGACGCUUUUUGUGUAACAAGAAAAAAGCUAGAAUGACACUUAUUAUGAAACAGAGAGAGUAUAUUUUUACCGGUGUACUUUUAAGUAACUAAACCUCAAAAGCGUAGGUUAAUAAAAUAAGUAAUUUGUUUUGUUGUUCUAAAAUUAGAUGAUUUUUAUACCGAACUGAUGAAUACAUUUUUAUAUUUCGAGUCUGCAUUUAUAUUCUGUAAGAGCUUGAUAUAUUAGAUUUUAAUACUAACCUGUGAAUAGAGUUUGCCGAUGGUUUUCUUCAAAAUUUUGAUUCUUAGAUAUGUAUCUGGAGUGGAACUAAUUUUUACAGAUGUCCAUAUUUUUAAAUUGACAAUUAUGUAAUUCACUGAAUUUAUAAAAGAAGUUAAAAAAAAAUCAUAUCAAUGAAACAGAAGCGCGAAGCGAAAGCACAAUUUUAUAGAGGUAGAAAAUUAAAUCACUUAUGAAGAGUCAAUAGUAAACAAAUCGAGAGCAUAAAACCUAAUCUCCUUUCGUCAUUUUACAAUCGAUGUUGCAUGUGUGGUUUUGGUGAUUUGUGCCAUACGCAAAAUUUAAUUCCUUUUUGUGCAUAUUAAAUAUGAAGUCUUAAAAAUAAUUAAAAUGAGUUGUAAUACGUUAACUAUUCAACAACGAUUAUACAUUUAAGAGGCUAACAUUUGUAUUGGUCAUUUUACAACGAUAAAAAUCGCAGUGUUGCAAAAUGUUAAAACCAUUUAAUGAACAAACAUUAUUAUAAAAAACUCACUCCGCGCAUGCGCGCAGAUUAUCAUAUAGUGGUAUAGUAAACCAGUUUAAGAAAACUAGGGUCUUCACCCUUGAUUGUAGUAUUUUAUUAAAAUUAAAUGUAUCUCAUUUGAGAAAAUUGAUAGUAAAUCUUCUAAGAGUAUUUCCAACCUAUAAUACUAUUAUAAUGUCAUUAUUACACUAUUUUAAUGUAAUUUCAACAUUAAAAACUUUUUCAUCUCUAAUCCAAAUUUUUUAAUUUGGCUUACCCGAAAUUUUCAUAUUCAUCUCCCAUUUUCUUAGAAACAAAGUCUUUGACGGCUUGGGAUUGGCACUUCUCCUCGGGAGAGAAUUUAAACGACAGCGUUUCCUUCCAGGGGAGCUUAGAGGAGAAUCUCCCUACGAAGCUACUAGCAUAGCCGGAGGACUCACCCCAAGUCCUCUGAGCCUUUUGUUUCUCACAAGCCGGAGCCUUAAAGAAAGAGUCCAUAAACAGAUAGGCACGAGACAAGAGCGUUUCAUCAACACCAUGGUUAGUAACUAGGAAGAAGCCAUGUUUCUUUGAAGCCUCAGAGACGAGUCUAGUAGCUUCUGAGACCAAGAACGAAUCGCCGGAGAGGAAACCGGCGAGGUCUAUGAGAGGGGCUUGGAGAGGUUGAACAUCCGUGGAAGGUUUCUCGUGGUCGGGCCAUACAAACUGUUGAGGUAUGUGGUUUGAUAACUGAUUUAGGAGAUUUGCAUCGAAGAUUGAAGGAUCCUCUUUGGUUUUGUUAUCAUUGAACCUUUCAGGGAGAGUUGCGAUGCAUUCCAUUGCCAUUUAUCUUUAUG
rnacentral:lncRNA from 1 species